rnacentral:rRNA from 1 species
GACGAACGCUGGCGGCGUGCCUAAUACAUGCAAGUAGAACGCAGUUGCGCACGGGUGAGUAACGCGUAGGUAACUGCCUGGUAGCGGGGGAUAACUAUUGGAAACGAUAGCUAAUACCGCAUACUACCAGAUGGACCUGCGUUGUAUUAGCUAGUUGGUGGGGUAACGGCUCACCAAGGCAACGAUACAUAGCCGACAUGGGAGGGUGAUCGGGCACACUGGGACGGAGACACGGCCCAGACUCCUACGGGAGGCAGUAGGAGGGAAUCGUCGGCAAUGGGGGGAACCCUGACCGAGCAACGCCGCGUGAGUGAAGAAGGUUUUCGGAUCGUAAAGCUCUGUUGUUAAGGAAGCGGUACUUAACCAGAAAGGGACGGCUAACUACGUGCCAGCCGCCGCGGUAAUAC